rnacentral:lncRNA from 1 species
GAUAUCUCACUUUUGAUCUUGAUCCUUUCGGGACUUUAGUCCAAUUGAGACUUUAAAUUUUUGAUGAGGUCCAAUCCGAAGAUCGGAUAUCCCACUUUUGAUCUUGGUCCUUUCGGGACUCUGGUCCAAUUGGAACUUCAAAUUUUUGAUGAGAUCCAAUCUAGAGAUCGGAUAUUUUACUUUUAAUCUUGAUCUUUUUGGGAUUUUGGUCCAAUUGAGAUUUUUGAUUUUUAAUGAGGUUCAAUCCAG